GAUGAACGCUAGCGGCAGGCCUAACACAUGCAAGUCGAGGGGCAGCACAUAAAGUGGUUUACUACUUUUGGUGGCGACCGGCGGACGGGUGCGUAACGCGUAUGCAACCUGCCUCCACCAGGGGGAUAACGGAGAGAAAUUUCCACUAAUACCACAUAAUAUCAGAAUCGGCAUAGGUUUUGGUUGAAAACUCCGGUGGUUGGAGAUGGGCAUGCGUUGUAUUAGAUAGUUGGUGAGGUAAUGGCUCACCAAGUCAACGAUACAUAGGGGGACUGAGAGGUUAGCCCCCCGCACUGGUACUGAGACACGGACCAGACUCCUACGGGAGGCAGCAGUGAGGAAUAUUGGUCAAUGGGGGCAACCCUGAACCAGCCAUGCCGCGUGCAGGAAGACGGCUCUAUGAGUUGUAAACUGCUUUUACAAGGGGAUAAAUCGGUGUACGUGUACACCGUUGAAGGUACCUUGGGAAUAAGGAUCGGCUAACUCCGUGCCAGCAGCCGCCGUAA
rnacentral:rRNA from 1 species